rnacentral:rRNA from 1 species
CUCCUACGGGAGGCAGCAGUGAGGAAUCUUGCGCAAUGGGGGAAACCCUGACGCAGCAACGCCGCGUGGGUGAAGAAGGCCUUCGGGUCGUAAAGCCCUGUCAGGAGUGAAGAAAGGCUGGGGAGUCAAUACCUUCCCGGUUUGACGGUAGCUCCAGAGGAAGCACCGGCUAACUCCGUGCCAGCAGCCGCGGUAAUACGGAGGGUGCGAGCGUUAUUCGGAAUUACUGGGCGUAAAGAGGGUGUAGGCGGUCAGGUCAGUCUGGUGUGAAAGCCCGGGGCUCAACCCCGGAAGUGCAUUGGAUACUGCCUGACUUGAGUACUGGAGAGGAAGGGGGAAUUCCCGGUGUAGAGGUGAAAUUCGUAGAGAUCGGGAGGAAUACCAGUGGCGAAGGCGCCCUUCUGGACAGAUACUGACGCUGAGACCCGAAAGCGUGGGGAGCAAACAGGAUUAGAUACCCUGGUAGUC